ensembl:snRNA U5 U5 spliceosomal RNA
UAGCUUAGGUUUUUCUUCAUUCACACACAAGUCUUUCGACUUCUAUUAAAGAUUUCCGUGGAGGGGGACAUUGGUGAGUUAUUUUUGAAAGCUCUGCUAUGGCAGAGCU